GUGGUGCUUGUCAAUGACUCCACCAGAUUGGAUUGCCGGCAUUCUCUCCGAUAUUCCAGCGUCAUGCUCGUUAGAUCAAAAUCUUCCAACACAGUUAUUGGAAAGGCACGAAAGGAAUUCGAAGGAGAUAUGAUCUUUUGCAUAUGUCUACUUUAAUAAUAUAUAUCAUCGCAAAUCUACUUUGGUGAUUGAGUUUUGAUACUCACUGCUAAGCCUGAUCGAAUUCUCUCAGCGGUUUUAUCAGUGAGCUUGUCGAUCUUUUCGCUGUCGUUUUGGUCAGUGGGGAUGGCGAUUCUAUUGAGAUAAAAUGGGGUCAACUCUUCUCUAACUUGGUCUGGUAUUUUUGAUAACCUUCUUGUUUCUUUGUUCAUUAUAACCCAUGUGCUGAAAUCCAAAAAGAAUUGUACAUAACAAAAAAUUAUAAUGUAAGAGAGAAUAUUAACGAAAACAUGAAUGGAAAUUAUGUGCAUGAAUAUUAUUUGUUAUAUUAUAAAAUAUAAAGUUGAUUUGUAUAUCUA